GACGUACAACACAAGGAGCCAAUCAACAGACGAGGCACAGCUGGAAUAAGAAGACAAAUACUGAUUGGGUAACGAGACGACACAAAGACAGGCUGACGAGGCUCGACACCAAACAGGUGGACAAGGGAAGACAUGCAGGGCGGGGCUACAGAAGGGACACACCGGGCCGGCACAGACAACUGAAACCCAAUGAAUACAACAAGGAACAUGAAACACAAAACAAAAGCCCACAUCCUCUGGAGACUUCAUUCUCUCACUCUCAUCAUCUUCAGGUUGGAAAGCUAUUCACUUAGUUUUUGCCAAAACAGACUAACAAUUGUCAAAAUAAUCUUGAUUUAUGGUCUACUCACAACCGUUUUCCAGAGCUUUCAGCCAUGUCUUGGUCUUCUUUUGAGAAGGACUUGUCUCAGCGUGAAGUCGUCCUUGCUCCUGGAUGGAAAACUCCCAAACUGGGCCGGCCUUUUGACUCUUAGCUCACUAUAUUUUCAAUUUGUUAUGAUUUUUAUGUCGCCUAAAUACUUUUGCAUAUCAUUUUCAGAGUUGAUAGUGGAUGUAAGAAGGAAAACAUCAUAAACCAUUUUUUUGUAAGUCAUCAUUAAAUGGCCCAGUAUUGAUU